UAAAGACGACAUUAUAUAUAUACAUAUAUGUAUGUGUGUGUGUGUAUGUACACACAUAUAUAUACAUAUGUUUGUAAUGGAAUACUAUAUAAUCUUUUAAAAAGACGGAUAUUCUGUAAUUUCCAAAAACAUAGGUGGAACUGGAGGACAUUUUGCUAACUGAAACAAGCCAAACACAGAAAGUCAAAUACUGUGUGAUCUCACAUGUGGAGUCUAAAAAAGUCAAUCUUGUAGAAACAGAGAGCAGAAAGGUGGUUACCAGAGGCUAAGGGUGGGGAGAAAUGGGGAAAAGUGAGAUGAUCAAAAGGUAACAAGUUUCACUUACACCAGUGAAAUAGGUUUUAGUGAUCUAUUAUACUGCAUGGUGACCACAGUAAAUAAUAUGUUUUAAAUUUAAUAAAAUAAUUUGAUAAAUUUUUUUAAAUGGGCAAAGGCUCUAAACAAACACUUCUCAAAAGAAGACAUACAAAUGGCCAACAGUGUGUGAAAAAAUGCUCAACAUCGCUAAUCAUUAGGGGAAUACAAACCAAAACCACAAUGAGAUACGAUCUCACAUACCAGUUUGAUAGGUGAGAUUUUAUCUAACAUGGCUGUUAUCCAAAAGGUGAAAGAUAACAGGUAUUGGUGAGGAUAUGGAGAAAAGUUGGAAAUGUGAAUUACUACAGCUAAUAUGGAAAACAAUAUGGAUUUCUCAAAAACU